AUUGAACGCUGGCGGCAGGCCUAACACAUGCAAGUCGAGCGGCAGCACGGGAAGCUUGCUUCCUGGUGGCGAGCGGCGGACGGGUGAGUAAUGCAUGGGAAUCUGCCCGAUAGUGGGGGAUAACGUGUGGAAACGCACGCUAAUACCGCAUACGUCCUACGGGAGAAAGGAGGGGAUCUUCGGACCUUUCGCUAUCGGAUGAGCCCAUGUUGGAUUAGCUAGUUGGUGAGGUAAUGGCUCACCAAGGCAACGAUCCAUAGCUGGUCUGAGAGGAUGAUCAGCCACACUGGGACUGAGACACGGCCCAGACUCCUACGGGAGGCAGCAGUGGGGAAUAUUGGACAAUGGGCGAAAGCCUGAUCCAGCCAUGCCGCGUGUGUGAAGAAGGCCUUAGGGUUGUAAAGCACUUUCAGUGGGGAAGAAAGCCUGAGACCUAAUACGUUUCAGGAAGGACAUCACCCACAGAAGAAGCACCGGCUAACUCCGUGC
rnacentral:rRNA from 1 species